UCGACGCCCACCUCUACAGCGGCGGCAAUCCGCUGCCGUGGCCGACGAGGUACAGGAUCGCCCGGGGGGUCGCGGCGGCGCUGCUUUACCUCCACGAGGAGUCGGAGCAGUGCGUGGUCCACAGGGACGUCAAGUCGAGCAAUGUGAUGCUGGACGCCAAUUUCAACGCCAAGUUAGGGGAUUUCGGCCUUGCGAGGCUCGUAGACCAUGGCGGCGGCAUGGAGACGACGGUCGUGGCUGGGACGAUGGGGUACCUGGCGCCGGAGACCGCGACGACGGGGAGGGCGAGCAAGGAGUCGGACGUCUACAGCUUCGGGGUGCUGGCCUUGGAGAUCGCCUGCGGGAGGAGACCCAUCGAUCACGGCAAUAAAGAGGGACGAGUUAGUCUCGUCGACUGGGUGUGGAAUCUUUGCGCGAAGGGCGGUAUUUUGGAGGCGGCAGACGAGCAGCUGGGCUCGGACUUCGACCGGCAGGAGAUGGAGCGGCUGAUGGUGGCGGGCCUGUGCUGCGCACACCCGGACCACAGGCAACGGCCGUCGAUGCGGCAGGUGAUCGGCAUUCUCCUCUUCGAGAUGCCGUUGCCUAAUCUGCCCGCCGAGAUCCCGGAGCCAUCCUACGGAGCGUUUUCCGUUCCAGGGUUCAACUUGACCGGCAUCAACGGAUGGUCAUCGUCUACGUCGGCCAACUCCGGCGGAUUCAGCACCGGCCCCUCCGUCGAUUCAGCUGGCUCCACUGACAGCAAACCGCUUCUGUAUCCACGCGUCAGGUAAAGCCGUCGAAUUCAACUCUUUCGUUUUGUUCGUCUUUCACUCAGGAUUUGAGUACAGCGAGAGAGCGAGAUAUUUCUGUGUUAUUUGCACUUUCUUCCCAACUGUUCUUGCUGUAAAAAUCCCUGUAACCAAGGUUUCGAUCCUUGGAGCUUAGCUCCCUCGUCCUACUCAGUUGACGGUGGAUUCUCGCGUGACCCAUGACCACGAUGCAUCCCGGCAUUUUCGUGGGGAUCCUGAAUAGAUAUGAUGGAAAGGAAAGGCUAGGUUCGGCCUCCAAAGUCUGUCUAUUGCCUUCCUCCCACUGCGGCGACGCGCUCCGACGACCCGUCGCGAGAACGGCGCCCACGGGACGCCGAAGGUCAGGUGCUGUUCACAUCUUUUGUCUGCUCUGUUUCAUGGGUCCUGGGUGACUUCUUCACCUGUUCCGGCCCUCCCCUCGGACGCGGACGAGAUCCGAAGAAUCAGCUUGGACAUGAGAUCGAUUCAGCCCGUCCGAGUUUAUCUUCCCUUAAAGAUGGUGUUUUACGUGGGUACUACUCCAUUACUCUCCCGUCGGCGUAAGAGGACUCCUCCUGACGCCAUCACCUUCUUCCUCCCCUUGGUGUCCGCAAAUCUCACACCUGCAUCACCGGAGAUCCGAGUUCGGAGUUCGGCGACAGUUCUCGUCCCGUCGGUGUAAGACAGUAAGAGUACCUCACAGGCUCGCAAGGGAAGACCGCAGCGGCUUUGCCGAACGAUAUUACCCGGGCAUCUUUCUCCGCCGCGAUGGGUCCCCCGGCCUCGCCUCAACAAAAAAAAAAAUCGUCGCAACGACCAUGGUUAGCCUACGACAUGACAGGGGCCGCCCAUCUACCCAUAUUCAACAAAGAGCAUCCCGAAAGAUUCCGAAGCUCGAGUGCUGAGGGGACCCCACAGCUGGAUACCCUUCAUCCAGGGACCUAUCGUCCCUCCGGGGGGUCCCCUUAUCUUUCGUCUCCUGGCUGUCCGUCGCUGGCCCAUCACACUGACAAGUCACAGGCAGCUGGCCGGGUGGAAACUGGUGAUGCUGGUGGGAGCUGGCAUCACCAGUUGAUAAAGAAGGUAGGCGGUGCUAGUUAGACCUAAACUGCAUCUCAUUCACCUCACAUUUAGUGUGGCGCAGGACAUAAAGGAACCAAAACAGAAAAAAUUCAGGCGAGAGGAGGGCAAGAGAUCAUUCUCAAGGCCGCAUCAAAUGCCUCGAGCGAUAACUUCUCCGCAAACGGUACGCCGUGCCCGAUUGAGGUCCGUACGCCGCCGUCCGCUUUUUCCGAAAAUAAAAAGGGCAAAAGGUAAUAUUUCGGGUCUCAAGGACUGCGCUGUAAUUUCCUGAUGGGAACAACUAUAAUUUAAUGUUAGUCAUACGCAAAUAAUAAUCCAUUCGCCCAGAACGGCACUCGUGAAGAAUAUAACGUAUAUGACGGCUAUUAAACGCCCGAUUGACUGGGUGAACUUUUCUCUGAUUGGCAACCAAAGUCCUUGGUUACCCCUUCUUCAGACUUGAUAAACGGGACCGCUCCUCCACGUUGGCGAUGGGUCAAACUUUAGAAGUACUCAGCUUUUAGAAAAUGACAUACUUUGGCUGUCAUAGCACUAUUUUUUUAAAAGACUCUUUUGGGCGGUCUACAACGCACCUGGUGCCCCCUUGCUGCCGUGCUAUGCUACCCUGGUGUAGAAAUGGAUUUGCCUCCAAGGUCUGGUCAAGCUUGCACCUUGCUGGGCAAUUAUUGUGCCUUUGACGAAGUAUACAAAAUUGACUUCACACAUGACCAAGAUGGGUCCCGAUCUUACCCUUUCAUGCAACUUGGGCAUCUAGAGAGAGAGAGAGAGAGAGAGAGGAGAGUGUAGUUUAAGAUUUAUGGGUCAUGUCUUACCAAGCCUUCACACAUGACCAAGAUGGGUCCCCAUCUUACCCUUUCAUGCAACUUGGGCAUCUAGAGAGAGAGAGAGAGAGAGAGAGAGGAGAGUGUAGUUUAAGAUUUAUGGGUCAUGUCUUACCAAACCUUUGACACAACUUGGAUAAUGACUAGAUUGCCUUUCUACUUUGGGUUCGAAGAAAACUGGCUGUGGCAGAAGUUUUUUUAGGAUUUAAAGUUUCCUGCAUUUAAUUAUUUAGGGCUUUUAAUUUUUUUUUUCCAUUAAUAGCAUUAGUCAAUUAUGAUACCUACGCUUUUUCCAUGACCGAACUCAUUAUUGAUUCAAUUUUUAUUACUAAAACAUACAAAUAAUUAAUUUUUAGUGUUGGAGAUUCAUAUUUCCUAUAUUUUAUCGAAUAACCUAAAUUUAUUUGCUAGUUGCUGAAAGCUAAACUUUAGUGCAUGAAAAUUAAGAUUGACUUCCGGAGAUGCAUGGAAGCGCUUAUUGAGCCUGAUAGACCAAAUCUUCGGGCGGAUCUAAUGACGCUUAUUAUUAAUGGGCCUUGGGAAAUCCCAACCCUUUACUAAGCCUGCCACAGAGCCUAAUCAAGGUUCGGCCUGAUAAUGAGGAGUGGCUUUGGGCAUCCCCCCCCCUUCUUUAUACAUUUAGGGUCAGCCAGAGAGUUCCCUAAGGCCCAGUAAUAAGCACCAUUUAGGGUCAGCCAAAUAAUAAGCACCACCACUUCUGUUCUAUGUGGGACACCUGAUCUAUUAGUAAACUUUAUCAUUUAUCUUAGUGUUUCAGAAGAUCUAGAACCACUUGAUGCUUAUUUGAGAAAGCACUCAGAGUAAAAAAAAAUGGCCUUUUUUUUAAAAUAACAAUAUUUUUGCUCUCAACGCUGAUUUUCUUUGCAGAUUCAAGGGCCGAUCGCCCCUUAAAGCGGCUAUCAAUAUUCCAUUGGAAUCGAUGUCGAUCCGCAGCAGCUCCUGCAAUGUGUCUUGAAUUCCGUGUCACUCAUUGAAUAAAAUAUUCUGGGCUAUUUUGCCAAAUAAAUGGAGAUAUGAAUUGCUGGGUAAACAUACUGUUAGUGACGAACAGUAUUACGUCAGGUUGAAGAAAACUUAUUCCCGAUCACAUAAGCCCCUUGGGAGAUAUUUCCCUAUAUGGACGUGUGCCUUACACAGUGAAAGCCAGUUUCAACUAUGGCUUUGUCAGAUAUGAAGAGGGCACCGGGGGAAGCUUGGUUCGUACAGAGAUAUAAAACUUCGAGAAGGCCUGCCUCUCUCUCUCUUGUCUCUUCGAUUUGCAUGAAGAUAAAUAACUGGGAAAAUAGAGAGGAAGAGGGGGCAGGACAUCCGAGGAGCGAAGAUGCAGAAAAAUGGAGGCAUACAGCUGAGGAGUGUUUGGGUUGUUAGAGAUGAAAGCCCAAUAUGGACUUAGCGCGGAAGCUAGAAGACAGAAACAAAAUGGACAACUCACAACCGGAGACACAAGGAUUUACGUGGUUCGGAAGUUGGCCUCCUACGUCCACGGGCGGCGAUGAAAAACUCCAUUAGAUGUAGAAAAAGUACAGAAUAGCACUCCCCAAAACCCAGAAUACAGACCUUUAAUCUUGGCCCUCAAAAAACUCACUAGUUCCUCACCAACAAGUAGAGAUCACUCUGUUGAAAACUCACUCCCAACCCUCUAGUACCCUCUGGUCACUAGUGCUACUACUGAUGCUACAUAUGAGAUGAAAAGAGAUGGCCUCUAUUUAUAGACCUCCUGGAACCACCUCGGGAAAUGUGCCAGCGACUCCUCGGGAAACGUGCAGACGGUUUCCUCCUUAAAGCUGGAACGGUUCAGCUGAACCGUUUCCCUUCCGGUUCGGCCUGCCCGUUACUAGGCCGUUGAGAAGCGUGAGAAGCGGUCCACAUCGUGGGCCGUUUCAAACGUCUCACCUUCUCUCUCUCUUCUCUCUCUCUCCUCCGCAUUUAAUGCGGUCUUCUCUGCUGCCGUUUGAGCUGACAUGAUGUGGCCUUGAUGAGCCACGUGCCCAACAUGGGUCAGGAAGGUCGAAACCCAUCCGAAUCGGAGCCGCUCUCCCUUUUUCUCGGCUCAUGAUUCUGAACAUGAUUGGACGAAUCCGAUGGAGAAGCUGGGCCGUACCAACCGAUGUUCUUCUUCCGGGCUUUCGGAGGGGAGGUAGUCGGCCUGGAAUCCGAGGAACCUGUUGAUGUGGGUGGCGACGGGCCGGGCAUCCCCAGGGGAGUAGGGCAGAAGAGCCUCAAGAUCCAUGGUUCUGAGGACCUGGCCCAGGGACUGGGGGCGGGAGCAGAACAGGUGCUUCCUCGCCGCCAGCUCGUCCGCCAGCUCGUUCUGGUGGUUGUCCAUCAGGUCCUAGUUGACCACCACGAUGAGUGGUUUCCCCACACGCAGAGUCUCAAAAAUGAUGCCCGAUCCUACAAAGCGGAGCAAAAUUUUUUCCAUCAGAGGAUGCUCGGCGGAGAGGCGAUCCACGCCCGAUUGGGCCGGCAGUUGCAUGCUUUUUUACUCCUAUGAAUUUUAAUAACAGAUGGAGAAGACUCGCAGUAAGACUUUUGAAAAUAAGCUUAUGAUAAUGCAAGGAUACAUGAAGAGAUUUUGAAUCCACAGUUCUUUCCUUGAUCAAAAAUAAGAAUAGCAUACAUCGUCUUAAAUAUUUCUUGUAGAUCAUUGAAAAAAACUAUUAAAAUUUGAAGCACAUGGAGAUAGAUGCCUAUUGAUCACCCGUCACAAUCGUAAUGAGAAAAAUGAAUAAAAAUGAAGUAUAAACAAUCUUUCAGAUUCCAAGAUAUUCUUCUUCUGACGAUAGAGGGGAUAUAAGACCCGCGCCCCAUCUGGAUGACCAGAUCAGUGUGACCUCUCCUCCCGAGUUCCUCCCUCACUGCCUGUGUAUCCAUGGCGCGAACCAGAGCAUCGAAGCUGGUAGUGCCAACUGUCACAAACACAAUCCUCUUCGCUCUCUUACCAUUUUGAUCUUCUCCUAUUUCCUUUUCUGGCAUUCGUGAUGCGGCACGGCCCAACGCCUUGUUGACCGAUGAACGUGGAGCUGGUCAAGAAUAGAAACCUGGAGAAUCGCAAAGUGGAGGACGUGAAUCUCGCCAACCGUCACUACUCACGUUGCCGCCAUAAUCACCGAAACGGAUGAAUUUAUCAUUCCUUAAGUCUUGCUGUUUCAGUUACAAUUUGAGGCCCAUAAAUCGGCUAAAAGAACUCUGAUUUGCGGAGGAUAGAGAAAUGGAAUUCAAGGAUUAGUUCCUUACCUGAUCGAAAGAUCCCGUCGCCCCGGGUAGGGUUGAUCGGAGGACCCCGCUACUCCCGGUCUGGAGCACCCUUCCCCCUCCCUUAUCUUUCUUCUAUCGCCGUCGUCUUCCCCCGCCGCUCACCACCGUCGACGCUCUCUGCCGGCGGCCAUCGCCCCUUUCGCCGCCGUCCUAUUCUCGUCGACCGCCACCACCAGCCGUCCCCUUCCCACCGCCUGCCGCCGCCUACCACCGCCUUCCCACUGCCCGCCACGGUCUGUCGUCGCCUUGUCGCCAGCCACCACCACCAUCUGCCGCCGUCGCUGCCGCCUCCUGAAGGCCCUUCCCCUCUACGGCUAGGGCUUAAUCCCUCAGUCGUCGGCCGAACACCUUCUGGCCAACCUCUGCCGGUCCACUACCGCCGGCCCCAGCUCCAGCCCGUAACGAACCGAACCGCCCACUGCAAGCCGUCUGACCCUCCGGUCCGAACCCGGUCGACCCGAGCAACCGGGUUCGAGCCAUUUCGUCACCUGACUCGAGUCACCUUGCUCGACCAUUACACUAGUCUGAUUUGAGCCGCCCCAUCCGUCAAUCAGAUUGAGCAGUCAACAGCAAACGGUCAACUAUCUAUAGUCAACGGUUAAGGGUCAAUAAUAAUUACUCAACAUAUCGGUCAACGGCUAAAUUUUAUUUCAAGGCUCAAGUAUAUCUUCUACACUUUUUACAUUUCAUUUGUUCAUUUAAUAUACUUUCUUACUAUAAUCACAUAAGAGAUCAUAAGGUAGCCACUUUUUAUUAUAUAUUAAGUUAAUCAUUGCAUCAUGAUAUAAAAUAUUUUUUGAUCUAUUAAAUAAAUGACCAUCCUAAUUUAAGUAGUUUUCUUAAACUACUUCAAGUAGUAUGUUCAUUGAAUACACCUUCUUUUUGCUCAUGUCACAUUGGGUAGAUAGCUUGUUGACAUUUGGGUAUGAUUUCCCUUUCGUCUAUCGCCGUCAGCCACCACCGCCUGCAAUGCCAUCACUUGCCACUGCCGCUGUCAUCGUCUUCCCUUCAACCGCCGCUGCCUGCCCAUCGCCCUCUCUACAGUUGACAUCCCCCUCCAGCAGCCACCGCCUUUUCGCUGCCAUUCCCCCUUCAUUGCCCACCAACACCAGCCUCGCCAUAUUGCCACCACCUCGCCACCACCUCGCCACCACCUCGCUACCACCUCGCCACCACCUAGCCGCCGACCUUCGCCCUCACCUCCCGCCGUCGCUGCCCGCUCCCUUUUCUCCUCUCUCCGUCACCGAAUGCCAUUCCCCUUUCACGGCAAGGUUUAAUCCCCGAGUUCUGGGCUUGACGUCAUUUGGCCCACUUCCACCGACCCUUUUGGCCAACUGCGCCCGAACCAUCUGGCGCGAGCCAUCAAGGCGCCCAGGUCAUGUCAGAUCCGUCCCUUAAGGUGUGAGUCGCUACAUCUGACAUGUUGGUCAAUAGUCAAUAGUCAACAGUCAAAAGGUCAAAAUUCCGGUCAAUAUUCAAUAUUCAAUAGUCAAUAGUCAAACGUCAAAACAUGUCGGUCAAUGGUCAACACUUAUUUUCAAGGUUCAAUUAUAUCUUACUAUUUCUCUAUUUCAUUUAUUCAUUUAAUAUACUUUCUUGCUACGAUCCCUUGAGAGAUCAUAGGAUAGACACUUUUACAUUUUCAGUUGAUUCUUAAACCUUGGUAUUAAAUAUUUUCUGAUAUAUAAAAUUGAUUCAGCUCGUCUCAGUUUAUUCUCUUUCAAUGGUUUUUUAUGUGGGUAUGACUCCCUUACUCUCCGGUCGGGGCGUAAGAGGAUUCCUACUAACGCCAUCACCUUCUCCCUCCCCUUUUGCACUCAUAAUUCACAUACAGCACCAUUGGAGAUUCGAGUCGGCGGCAGUGCUCCGCCCGUUGGUGACAGUACCACACGGGCUGAAACUUGCACCAAUUUGCGGCUCGCAGGGGGAGGCAUCCUUCACCGCCUUGCCUUGCCUCACAAAAAUAGAUAUGUCUCGUGGCAACGACCCAGGUUUAGCAUACGCCAUGACAGUGGCCGCCCAUCUACCCACAUUCCACGGAGAGGACCGGUCCUCCCUCUUGGGUUCAUCGCUUGUGCAUCGUGCUGGAGGAUCGUCUUCCAUCCCCCGAGUUUCUCAGUCGUUUCUCUCUUGCACUGGGACGAGGCUGCCGGGCCGCCGGCUGGAAGGAAACGGAUGGAGCUCGAGGGAGCUGCCCCCCAGCCAGUCGGCAAAGAGUGGUGGUGGCACUGGUUAGACCGAAACUGCAUCUCAUGCACCUAGCCUUUUAUGCCGCGCGGGAAGAUUAAGGAACCAAAACCGAAAAAUCCAGGCGAUAGAAGGGCGAAUAAGAAAGUCAGGAGGCCCCUCUCACCGCCGCAUCAAAUGCUUCAAGCGACAGCUUUUCUGCAAACUCAUAUCCUAUUUCUUUCGUUUGGCCUACGUGACUGUGUGGACGCAAAGAAACGCCAGUGAAGGCUUAUGAAUGUCGGAGGGAGUUGACCCCGAAUGGUAGGUGUCUCCCGAUCAAUGAUGCGGUGUCUACGGCAGUGGGCACACACCCCGCAGCUUUCACGGGAAAACGGAGAGCUUCCCCCCGCCGGGGGCCCUCCCAUACAGCUCCAGCCUUCCCCCACUCCCUGCGUCCCUCUCAAUAAUCCCUUCCACACCUGUCUCCCUCGGGGAUACUUCGUCAUUCAUAAACUACAUAAAAAAAGCUUUUUUCUUUUUUGGUCAUUCGCUGCCCACAAGUGAUAAGAUUAUUUUGGCUGCGGGGUGUUUGGCCAGUGCGGUCACCUCUUCUCGUUUAUUUCUUCCUUGACGGCCGCUGACUAUUAGGAUGAGCAGGCCGAGAGCUUGUUCUCUUGUUUAACUGGUUCAAGUCACGGCAUCGCCGACCCAUAGGAUACGGCGUACCGUGACGGCUUUCUCACCUUAAAGCGGACCCGAGGAGGCCCUAACCCUCCUCCACGGAAAUCAUCGCUGAGCCAUGCCACCGGGCGCCUCCAUCGCCUCUUUGCUCCUCCUGCUCGCCUUCGUCCUCGAGGCGCGAGGGGAGACGGUGACCACCUCUUUCGACUUCCCCAGUUUCGACUCCAGCCCCGCAGACAUCAUCUUCCUAGGCCACGCCUCAUCCGCCAACGGCUCUCUAGAGCUCAACGAGGACGGCGAUUACAGCUAUGGCCGAGUCAUCUAUUCCAACCCAAUACAUCUUUGGGACAACGAAACCGGGAAUCUCGCAAGCUUCGCCACCAAUUUCUCCUUCCCCGUGAUCCGGCCUCCGAACAAGGGGUAUUUCGCUGAUGGAUUAGCCUUCUUCCUUGCCCCCACGGGCUACGGUAUACAAGAUAAUAGCUCGGGUGGCCUUUUAACUCUCUUCCAAAGCUACAGCAAAGGCCGGUCGGUUAAGGUUCCCGUGGUAGCCGUCGAGUACGACUCCUACAAAAACCUAUGGGAUACGUUUGGCGCCCCCCAUGUGGGGAUCGACAUCGGCUACAUCGAGUCCACACAGUCGGCGGAGUGGGAGUCGAUCUCCGGCCAGGACAGAAGCACCAUCGACGUAGUGAUCACCUACGAUGCCGGCACCACCAGGCUUAAAGCCUACUUCUCGGAGAGGAAUGGCACGGACCAGAGCUUGGCUUGGGACGUCGACCUGAGAAAGGAACUCCCCGAAAGUGUGAACAUAGGCUUCGCGGGCGCCACUGGCGCUGACUUUGAACGUCAUGUGAUACAUUCCUGGAGCUUCAACUCAAGCCUGGAUGUUGCCGACCGUAACGGUAACACUACAAACGGCGGCGACGCCGGUGGUACCAAGAAGAAAAGCAGCAUCGGCCUCCUGGCUGGUGUGCUAGCCGGCGCGGGAACCUUGGCAAUCGCAGCGGGUUUGGCGCUGUUCCUCGUCCGGCUGAGAACGGCGUAUGCCAAGAAUGGAGGACAAGACGAGGUCAUCAACGAGAGAGAACUUGACGAAGGCAAGGGACCCAAGAGCUUCUCGUAUUCGGAACUCGCCCGGGCAACCACCAACUUUGCGCCAGAACAAAAGCUAGGAAGAGGAGGAUUCGGAGACGUUUACAGAGGAACCUUAACCCAGCCGAAAAUGGUGGUAGCCAUCAAGAGAGUGGCAAAAGACUCGAGGCAGGGAAAGGAGUAUGUCGCCGAGGUGAAGGUCAUCAGCCGCGUGCGCCACCGCAACCUCGUGCAGCUCGUGGGGUGGUGCCACGAGAAGGGGGACCUGCUUCUCGUCUAUGAGUACAUGCCCAACGGCAGCCUCGACGCCCACCUCUACGGCGGCGGUAGUCCUCUGUCGUGGCCGACGAGGUACAGCAUCGCUCGGGGUGUCGCGGCGGCGCUGCUUUACCUCCACGAAGAGUCGGAGCAGUGCGUGGUGCACAGGGACGUCAAGUCGAGCAAUGUGAUGCUGGACACCAAUUUCAACGCCAAGUUAGGGGAUUUCGGCCUUGCGAGGCUCGUGGACCACGGCGGCGGCAUGGAGACGACGGCCGUGGCUGGGACGAUGGGGUACCUGGCGCCGGAAACCGCGACGACGGGUAGGGCGAGCAAGGAGUCGGACGUCUACAGCUUCGGGGUGCUGGCCUUGGAGAUCGCCUGCGGGAGGAGACCCAUCGAUUACGGCAAUAAAGAGGAUCGGGUUAGUCUCGUUGACUGGGUUUGGGAUCUCUACGGGAAGGGCGCCGUUUUGGAGGGGGCGGACGAGAAGCUGGGCUCGGACUACAACCGGCAGGAGAUGGAGCGGCUGAUGGUGGUGGGGCUGUGCUGCGCCCACCCGGACCACCUGCAACGGCCGUCGAUGCGGCAGGUGAUUGGCAUUCUUCUUUUCGAAAUGCCAUUGCCAAAUCUUCCGGUCCAGAUGCCGGAGCCGUCCUACGGAGGGGUUUCCGUUUCUAGGUCCAACCUGGCCACCAUCAACGGGUGGUCGUCGCCUCCGUCGAUUCAGCUGGCUUCCACUGACAGCAAACCACUUCCGUAUCCGCCCGUCAGGUAAAGCCAUCAGAUUCAACGUUUUCGUUUUAUUCUUCGAUUUACUCUUGGCUUGUCUUUUUAGGCGGUCGUCGCAUUAACGGGUCCAGCGACUGGGCUGACCAUUUCUCACCAAAACGGCCGUCGACCGACAGAUCUCAGUGCACGCUCCAACUCUCCCAUUAACAACCACUCGGUCCUUAGAGGUGUUAAUAAGUAGAACCUCUCUUCUCUACUUCAGUGUACUAUUUGACAGUUGUGAAGAGAAGUUCAACGUAGAUAUCUAAGGGCCUAAUCGAAGUUUUGAAGGCCAUGAUUAGAUAUCUAUUUUCUGAGUUCUUGAUGAGAGUUUUCUUGUGAUCUUAUCAUAUCUAACUAAAGCUUUCGUCAUUGUUUUUCGUAGACAAAAGAAGAGGUAUAUGGAACCAUGUUAAAGUGUUUUAUGCUAGUACCCUAUUAUGAGUUGAUCACAUCAUGUAGAUUGCAUAAACAAUAUUUUGCUAGUACCCUACUAUGGGUUUUGUUCACCUAUUUUUUUUGCUUUAUUUCAUUACUCCUAGGUGAGUUCAUGACUCCUCCACACCUUUCACUAGAACAUGGACCAGAUCUGCAUAAUCGACUAAGAGAGGAGAUCAAUUCAACCUGUCUAAGUUUAUCUUUUCUUUCAUAUCAGCUUUUAGGUGGCUGUGACUCCCAACUCUCUCUAGUGUAAGAGGAUUCCUCUCGUUUACCCUUAAAAUUCACAGGCAACACUACUGCGGAUUUGAGUUUGGCAAGAAGUGAACUCGAUGAGCUCCAAAAGAGUAAAAGGAAAAUAUGUUGUAAGUAGGGAGAAAGUACGUCCAGAUAUGGAGGAGAAGAGGGCUGGAAUAGAGGAUGGACGGGAGUUCGUGGAACAAAAUAAGCCCUCAAAAUCAAAUUUCUUGAGUUGUUUACAACCAAAUAGAGAGGGUUUUAUCUGAAGGUAGAGAACUUAAUUCAAAAUUGAUUAAAAACAAAAAAAAGAAGGAAGAGACUAAAACUCAUGAUUUCUAGAUAUUAAUAUGCAUACUCAACUAUAAACUCAUGAGAUGCAGUUAGGAAUCUAACUUAAUGUUUUCCUUCAAACUAGUUACAUUGAUAUUGAUGAUAUUUCUCAAUUGUUGUCCUUACAUGGCAUCUAAAGAUGCUGCAUUAACAUGAAGCCGUACCUAGGUCAAUACAUACAUUUUAACAAUAUGGGAAUUUUUUUUAUUAAAGUCAAUACCUUUCUCUUUGCAUAAACCUUUCACAACUAAUUUAGUCUUGUACUUUAGAUGUAAAGGUUAUCAUUGAGUCUUCAGCUUGAAAGUUCAUUUGUUCUCUAUGGCUUUCAUCCCCUUUGAUAGUUAUACUAGAUCAUGUAUGUGGUUUUUCUACAAUGCCUCCAUUUCUUCACACAUUGCUACUAGCCACUUAAUUUUAAGCUCAAUUUCAACUACCUUUCGGUAACUAUCUAGUUCGCCUACAUCAGUAAGUAUAAUAUAUUUACCUAGAGGAUGAAUUUUAGAAGGUUUUAUAUGAUCCAAGAAAAAUUAUAGAUGAGUCUUCAUGGGAGAAUGUUCCUUCACUUCUCCAUGCUCAUCAUGUUGAUAGACUCCUAAGUACCCAAGUCCCUUGUCGCCAGAAACGGAGCAAAAGAAAGGAACGGAUUGCCAGAGCGGAAGACCAGCGCCCAACAUGAGUAAGUUUUGGGCCAGAAAUGAUGGGCCCAGAUGGAGGGCUUGGGCUGGUUAAGGCCUGACCAGUCAACAGCCAACUGUCACAGCGACAGUUUAAAUACUAGAGCAAGAGAUCGAGCGGGAGGAGAGAAAAAUCAAGAUUCUUCUACCCCAUCUGCCUCGACGUUUCACUCUGUCUGUCUGUCUGUCUGUCUCUCUCUCUCUCUCUCUCUCCCUCUCUCUCUCUCUGUUUCGCUCUCUAUUUCUCUCUCUCUUUCUUUCGUCAUGAUCUCGGCUAGAUCUGCUGUUCAUCAACAUCCUUGCUGCCUGAUCCUUUACCUCCUUCUGCAUUGUCUUUCCGGAGUUCGGAAAUGAUUGCUCUCGAGAUCAGGAACUAGUAAUUCUUGCAUUUCAAGAAAUUGAGAAAGGUGAUUGCGUACGUAAUACUUCUUCUUGUUCUCUGAAAUUCUUGUGUCUAAAAUCUUAAUAUCUUAUUUUGAGUAAAUUUCUUGAUAUCCUUCUGUUCUAUCUUUGAAUCAUUGGUUGAACUUCAACCGUUCCCUCCAAAUUUAUAUUGAUUGUGAGGAAUAUAAAAAAAGGAGAUCCUAUCACAUGUCUUAUAGGCAAGUUUGCAUCAAUUUCACUUAUAUCAUGUCCAUAGUAUUAGAAAGGCAGCAGCUGGAUGACGGGCAGCGGUGGAAAUAGUCGGACGGAAGAAGUGGUGGCAGAUGGAUAUUGGCCCUCAGGACCUCUCCUUCGGAGCGAAGAUGGUUGACCCUCACGGCCUCUCCCUCAUGGAGCAGACACAAGUAGUUCCUCAGAAUAAUCUCUUAUCUGGAGAUGGUCGCAAGACCUCGCCGCUCCUAGUUAGAAGCUCCACCUUUGUCUCUAUCUGGUCGUUGUCGCCAUCUGUCGUCGCCUCCACCACUGCCUUCGCUGCCACCGCCAUCUUCCUCGUCUUCUGCCGUCGUCUUCUUCCUCGUCGUCCACCACCAUAGGGGCGCGAGACAACUCUCUCUAAGGAGCUCGGCAAAAUAGCCCCGUAACUUCGGGAGAAGGGGUGCCUCCUCACAAAGGGGGUUGCAGCGACCAGGCCUGGGCGACUGCCGCCACUAUUUUGUAUAUGUCCGCUUCGGCCUCCGACACUCUUGGUCCGCCACUAUCUCUACCUUCAUUGCCGUCGCCUCCAUCCCGUCGCCGACCACCUCAUCGCCGCCGCCGGCUGUCCAAGAUCAACCCCAUUCUGUCGUCGCCGCCACCAUCCCUUCCCGCUUCUUCCACUGCCAUUGUCGCCCUUCCCAACCUUUGUUCCUCUGGUGAUCUGUUCCGCCGGUUUCUUUCCCAAUUAGGGCUUAAAGGCCCCGAUUCGUGGGUCCCAAUCUACUGGUUGAACUCGUUCGGUGAUCUCGACCAGGCCACCCUCCGAUGCGAGCCCCAUUGGUCUGAACGAACCCGCCACAGGUUCGAGCCAACGUGGACAAUUGGGUCCACGUCGUUCUCCCGCGCCAGGCCGAGCCAUUCUGACCAUCUGGUCCACGUCGGGCAUCCCGUCCAGCUGGAGCCAAGACUCAAUCAAAUUUCUACGACAUAGUGAAUGAUCAAUUAUCUAGGCAACGGUCAACAGCGUGGUCAAAAGUCAACUAUUAAUAUUCUGCAACCAAUAGUCUCUCUUCUCAGUCCUUUCCAAGGUAAGUAGUUCUCACGCAUCAUAUAUCUCUGCUCAUUUAAUAUAUUCUUAUUGCGAUUGUCCGAGGGUGACUAUAGUGUAACCAUAUGUUUCUGAGUUUAAUGAGCAUAGUAUAACGACUGGUGACUUUUCUGAGCUACCCGAUCACGGCUGUCCUUGUAGAAACACAGCCGUCACGAGGGCCCUCGGCCGUCAACCUUGUGGGAAGAAAUGUACCCGUCAGACCUCAGCUUUCCUCCUGCCCGUGGACAGCGUAGAGGUCAACGUGGACAGGCCACAUGCACUGAAUGCAAUUAAACGUGUUUAAACAUUGUACCCCGUCAGUCUUCAUUUUUGUAAAGAUUUCAAGGAUCUUCCAUGGAAAAUCUAAAAGCUCAACGAAUUAUCUUUGAUGCGAAGUGGAAGUGAAAAGGAUCGAGUAGUUUAAGAAAACCAUUUGAUGUAGAAUGCUCAACGAUUUUAUAGUUCAGAAAAUGUUUAAUACCACAGUUUAACAAUACACUGAAUAUGUAAAGUGGCUAUCGUAUGAUCUCUCAACCCACUAUAACAAGAAAGUAUAUUAAAUGAACAAAUGAAAUAGAGAAAUAAGAAGAUAUACUUGAACAUUGAAAAUAACGGUUGACCAUUGACCAAUAUAUUUGACCUUUUAUCUGUUUACCGAUGACUUGUCCUUGUUGACGGUUGACUGUGGAUGACCAAUCAGCUGCAGCGGCUCACAGCUAAGGGGUGGACCUGACUUGGUCCCAGUGGCUGGAUGGCUUUCGCCAGACGGUUUGGAUCGCGGCUGGCUAAAAGGUGUAAGUGUUGGUGGGCGGCUGGAAAUGGGCCAGGUAAAAUCAAGCCCUAGCCGUAAGAGGAGGGGCCAUCAGGAGGCGGCGGGAGAGGGGAAAGAGGGGUCGGUGGCGACGGCAGGCGGAGGCUGCAGCCGGUGGCGAGGGGAUGGCAGGCAGCGGCGGGCGGCGGAAAGGUGAGAGCUGGCGGCAAGGCCAUGGCUGGUAGCGGCAGGCGGUGGCAGGCGUCGGGAAGACGACGGCUGGCGGUGGCGGGAGGUAAUGGCGGCGAGCAGUGGCCGGCAGCGACGGGCGGAGGAUGAUGCGACUGGAAGGUGGUGGCGAUGCAGGCCGCGGCGGUACAAUGGCGAUAGAAGAAAGGGAAGGUGGGGGAGGGAAUGGUGCUCCAGACCAAGAGUGGCGGGGUCCUCUGACCAACCCAAGCCGGGGUGACGGGAUCUUACGAUCAGUUAAGAUAAGGAACUAAUCCUCAAAACUCCAUUUUUAAUUCUCCUUAAAUCAAAGGUCUGAAGGCCGAUUUAUAAGCCUUUCUACAGUGAAAUCUUAGUCAGUCAAUAAUGAAGGAAAUCUUCUAUUGCAAGGCAUUUGUUUUGAUGGCUUAAUCGGCGCGUAGCCGGAUCAAGGGCGUCGUCCACACCUUCUAUGUUGGUCAUUCCCCCAAUUUGAUUCAAAUCACCUUCCUUGAUCAAGAGAUGGUUUGGGCGCGCUGCAUCAAUCCCCCACCGCAAAAAGCGGUCCUCGUGGCCACGGCAGGGUUGGUUGGUGAUCCUCACCGUCCUUCCGGGAAAAGACCUCGCGACUUACCCCUUGUCCCCUUCGAGGACGAUGGAACCUUCGUGUGGCGGCUCCGGUAGGUCAACUUGGGGCUGGAUGGUCGCCGCCUUUCUUGAAAGCCUCACCGGAACACGCGUAGACCGAAGCGAUUAUCGCUUCAUUAUUUAGGGGCGCCGCCACCCACUCGCCCAUCAGGAGGAGCGCUCGAAUUUAAUAAACGAGCGGUUACUGUCACGAUAACAAGGCCGAGAACUUACAAAAUGUUUCAUAGCCAGAGUGCCGUGACGGCUUUCGCACCUUACAGCGGCCUUGUGGAGGCCCCAACCCACCUCCACGGAAAUCAUCGUUGAGCCAUGCCGCCGGGCGCCUCCAUCGCCUCUUUGCUCCUCCUGCUCGCCUUCGUCCUCGAGGCGCGAGGGGAGACGGUGACCACCUCUUUCAACUUCCCCAGUUUCGAUUCCAGCCCCACAGACAUCACCUUCCUGGCCGAUGCCUCAUCCGCCAACGGAUCCCUAGAGCUCAACUUGAACGCCGGAUACAGCCUCGGCCGAGCCAUCUACUCGAAACCAAUCCGCCUCUGGGACAACGAAACCAAGAGUCUUGCAAGCUUCACCACAAACUUCUCUUUCUCCGUGAUCCGGCGUCCGAACACGACGGAUAACGGCGAUGGGUUAGCCUUCUUCCUCGCCCCCGUCGGCUACCCUAUUCCGGAGAACAGCACGGGUGGUUCAUUCACGCUCUUCAACCGCUCAUGUGUAGACCAACCCGCAAAGGUCCCCGUAGUAGCCGUCGAGUUCGACACCUUCCAAAACAGAGGAGAAGACGCGGCCCCCCAUGUGGGGAUCGACCUCGGCUGCUACAAGUCGAUUAGGAGCUCGAUUUGGGAGUCGCUCGAGGGUCAGACCAGUGUCACGAUCGACGCAGUGAUCACCUAUGAUGCAGGCACCACCACGCUGACAGCCUUCUUCUCCGGCAGGAGCGGCUACAUCAGGACCCUACCUUACGUCGUCGACCUGAGAAACGAGCUUCCCGAAAGGGUUGACAUUGGUUUCGCUGGCGCCACUGGUGAUUUCUUCGAACGCCAUGUGAUACAUUCCUGGAGCUUCAAUUCGAGCCUGGAUGUCGCCGUCCGUAACGGCAACACUACAAACGGAGGCGACGCGGGAGGGGGCGGCAUCAACGCUCCUCCGGACCCCCCUCCGAGCAAGAAGAAAAGCAGCAUCGGCCUACUGGCUGGUGUGCUUGCUGGCGCGGGAACCUUGGCAAUCGCAGCGGGUUUGGCACUCUUCUUCGUCCGGCGAAGAAGGGCAUAUGCCAAGAAUGGAGGACAGGACGACGUCAUCAACGACAGCGAACUUGACGAAGGCAAGGGGCCCAAGACCUUCUCUUAUUCGGAACUCGCCCGGGCAACAAGCAACUUUGCGCCAGAACAAAAGCUAGGAAGAGGAGGAUUCGGAGACGUUUACAGAGGAACCUUAACCCAGCCGAAAAUGGUGGUGGCCAUCAAAAGAGUGGCAAAAGACUCGAGGCAGGGAAAGAAGGAGUAUGUCGCCGAGGUGAAGGUCAUCAGCCGCGUGCGCCACCGCAACCUCGUGCAGCUCGUGGGGUGGUGCCACGAGAAGGGGGAGCUGCUUCUCGUCUAUGAGUACAUGCCCAACGGCAGCCUCGACGCCCGCCUCUACGGCGGUGGCAAUCCGCUGCCGUGGCCGACGAGGUACAGCAUCGCCCGGGGGGUCGCGGCGGCGCUGCUUUACCUCCACGACGAGUCGGAACAGUGCGUCGUCCACAGGGACGUCAAGUCGGACAAUGUGAUGCUGGACGCCAAUUUCAACGCCAAGUUAGGGGAUUUCGGCCUUGCGAGGCUCGUGGACCACGGCGGCGGCAUGGAGACGACGGCCGUGGCUGGGACGAUGGGGUACCUGGCGCCGGAGACCGCGACGACGGGGAGGGCGAGCAAGGAGUCGGACAUCUACAGCUUCGGGGUGCUGGCCUUGGAGAUCGCCUGCGGGAGGAGACCCAUCGAUCACGGCAAUAAAGAGGGACGAGUUAGUCUCGUCGACUGGGUGUGGGAUCUCUACGGGAAGGGCGCCGUUGUGGAGGGGGCGGACGAGAGGCUGGGCUCGGACUUCGACCGGCAGGAGAUGGAGCGGCUGAUGGUGGCGGGCCUGUGCUGCGCGCACCCGGACCACCGGCAACGGCCGUCGAUGCGGCAGGUGAUCGGCAUUCUCCUCUUCGAGAUGCCGUUGCCUGAUCUUCCGUCCGAGAUGCCGGACCCGUCCUACGGAGCGUUUUCGGUUUCAGGGUUCAAGUUGACCAGCAACAACGGGUGGUCAUCGUCUACGUCCGCGACCUCCGCUGGAUUCACCAACGGCGCCUCCGUCGAUUCAGCGGGGUCCGCCGUCUCCAAACGACUUCUGUUUCCGUCCGGCAGUUGAAUCAGUCGAAUUCAACUCUUUCGUUUUGUUUGUCUUUCACUCAGGAGUUGAGUACAGCGAGAGAGCGAGAUAUUUCUGUGUUAUUUGCACUUUCUUCCCAACUGUUCUUGCUGUAAAAAUCCCUGUAACCAAGGUUUCGAUCCUUGGAGCUUAGCUCCCUCGUCCUACUCAGUUGACGGUGGAUUCUCGCGGACCCAUUACCACGAUGUAUCCCGGCAUUUUCGUGAGGAUCCUGAAUAGAUCUGAUAGGAAGGAAAGGAUAGGUUCGGCCUCCGACGUCUGUCUAUGGCAUUCCUCCCACGGGGGCGGCACGUCACCCACCGCACCACGACGACCAUUCACGAGAACGCCGAUGGUCAGGCCAGGCGUCUGUUCACAUCUUUUGUCUACUCUGUUUCAUGGGUCCUGGGUGACUUCUUCACGUGUUCCCACCUUCCCUCGGACGCGGACGAAAUCCGGAGAAUCAGCUUGGACAUGAGAUCGAUUCAGCCCGUCCUAGUUUAUCUUCCCUUAAAGACGGUGUUUUACGUGGGUACUACUCCAUUGCUCUCCUGUCGGCGUAACAGGACUGCUCCUUACGCCAUCACCUCCCCCCCCCAAUUGGUAGCUCGCAAAUCGCAUACAACACCAGCAUCACUGGAGAUCCGAGUUCGAGUGCUGAGGGGACGCCACAGCUGGAUACCAUUCAUCCAGGGACCCAUCGUCCCUCCGGGGCUCCCCUUACUUUCCGGCCCUUGCCCAUCUCGCUAAGAAGCCACAGGCAGCUGGCCGGAUGGAAACUAGUGAAGCUGGUGAGAGCUGGCAUCUCAGCCAAUUGUUCCCCCGUCUGACUUCUGACUCGGUCCAUGCAUUACUUCGUCAUAAAGGUGUGCGAGAAUCGGGCCACAACCGGUCCUUUUCGCAUGUCGCGUCCUCUCUCUCUCCUCGGCAUGAAACGCCUCGUCAUCCUCCACCCAGCCGAUUCCCAACAACCUUUCCCUUCCAACAAUCUUUCACUUCAUCUCAUAAUAGAGAUCUUAAAUGAAAUGUCUGGUUAUUGUAUAAAUAGAUAAUAACUGCAUCAGGGAACUGUGACUUGUGACUGUACUAAAUUUCAUGUUUAUUCUUCAAAAAUUUCUCCAAGAGUUCAUUCGAAAUCACAUGUAUAUAUUUCAAAAUUCUUCUCUCUAAUCACUUUGAAAACCGAAUUAUAUAUUUCACUUUUUUUCACUAUUUAUUUAAAAACUCAAAAUAUUUUUUUAUUAAUUAAAAUACAAUUUUUAAAAUAUGAAAUCAUUUUAAAAAUAAAAUAAAUAUUAAUAUUCAUGAAAAAUUAUUCAUACUCGAUGUUUGACUUAAGACUCAUUUAUUCAUCCCCGAGACAAGUACCAUCAAAGAUUAACCAUAAAAAGUGAUUAAUAGUGGGUAUAAAAAGAAGAGCCAGUGAAAAGAAAAGAAUAUAGAAGUAGAUACAAGAGAUUGACCAUCUCAUAAUGAGUCCUUAUCUAGAAUAAUUUUACCAUCUCGUUGUCAACCACCCACCACUUUCAUUCCCUUGUUUUCAUUUUCUAUUCCAUUUGACUUAUGUCAGGUCUUCAAACUAUGUACCCUUCAAAGGAUUUUUAGGCCCUUAGUGAAAUAUUUUCCUAUGAAAAGUGAGUCACCUUUCUUCCACGUCUUGAGGCUGAUGAUAGACUAAAUGAUUGAAUGUUCAUAUGCAUGAGUGAAAGAUGAAGAUAAAGAGAUGAAGGAGGUGGAACAAUGUGGAUAAGAGAGACGAGGUAAGUGGUGAGUUUUGUUUUCUCAUAUUUGAAAGAUCUAAAACUAGAAAUCAAAUGAUUUGUAGAACAUGCUCUCAAAACAUAAUCUAUCUCUAAUUUUGAACUAAAAUAUAACCCUAGAUGAACGAGAAUUUUAACCACCAUGAAACUAACCUGACAUCAUCACUUCUUAUUCUAUAUUUCCACCAAGAGGCAUUCACUUGUAGUAGUGGGAGAGGCCUCAUUUAGGCAAGAUAAGCUUCCAUUCCUGUUGUAAUACACCUACACACAUGCAAAGUGAAGCCCUAGAAAACCUUUCCCCUCUAAGUAGGAACAAUGACCAUGGUUUUAUGUCAAUAUAUAAAGCAUUACCCUCACUCUCUCUCCUCUCUUCAUGUGAGAGAAACCACCAAAAGUUUCUCAUGCCUUCACACCUUUCUAAACAAUUACACACCAUUAGAUCAAUGGGUCUCCUCUCUCUAGUGUCUUCUACCAUUUGAUGGUUGGUUUCUUCAUCUAGUCACUUUUCUCUAUUAGAUUGAUGAACCCUUCUUUUGCCAUUAGUGCCUUUCUUAGCCAUUGGAUCCCUCUUGCCACUAAGGUCACUUGUUGUACACAAUGGCUAGAUUCCAACCACAUAUGGGAUGCCCUAGACUUGAGUAAUAAAUCAUUAAAAAUAUCUAGAGGAUAGUUAAUAAAAUAUUGAAACAUAAUGUCCAUUAUGGUUCUAUAUAAUGUCACAUCAAACAUAUAUGAAAGAAUAAUCCAAGAAAAUUCAAGAAAAUACUGGAAACAUUAAUAUACCUCUAAACAUAUUAAAAUCACACCAUUCACACCAUUGAGGUGAGGAAUUAAUAAAGAGAAUCCUAAAAAAUGUUAAACUAUAGAAGAUAAUGUGUGUUUCUAACCUACUAUUCAUGUUACUAGGGGUUCAUCAAAUGGAAUUAGAGCCACACAUCAAAUGUUGAAGAUGAUAGAACCUAAGGUAAACCUCCUUGAGAGAAGCUUGGAGAAAGUUCAUGAGGUCAAUACAACCCUCUAGCAAAACGCCAUGAUGCUCCUAAUGAAAGUCUCUUCCCUCUGUGAGGAGACCAGGGGACUUCGUCAACAACUAGAUCACAUUAUUUGAACACUAGACAACCUACAAAGUUGGGAGGAGCUUCAACAACUUCUUGAAUGAUUCAACACCACUCAAUCAAGCUUUCUUUGUCAUAAUUUCCUAAGCAUCAACUAGAAAGCCUUUAUUAUGGAAUACCAAGAGGAGUUCAAAAUGAUGGCUGGCAUAUUGGGUCACUUACCCAAACAUAUUUUUGAAAAUAUAAUCCUAAAAGGGUUACAUAAUGAAAACUAAGUGGAAGUCACACUUUUAGAACAAAUUGGGCAUAAAAAGUUGAAGCUAAAUGUCAUAGUAAUAAGAUCUUAUUAAAGUAGAAGAAAUCUCCACAAUUUCACUAUUGAAGCUCCUAACUAUUCCCUUCAACAUUACUUAAUUCUUGAACAAGACCCUCAAAGGAUAAUGAUCAACGAAGGACAAAGAUCUAACCUUACUAUAGGUGGCUCACAUGUCAAGGAAUGCUAGUGAAUACAUCUCACUAUAGUACAAAUUCAAUCCUAAUGAGCUCAGGGACUCUACUUCUCAUGUAACGAUAAGUUCUUUCUAGAACAUCUCUACUACUAAGAACAAUAGGUGUUGGUCAUCCAAGAAGGAUUUAUCUUUGAUAAUAGGGCCAGACUCCAAAAGACUACACGACAUCGUGGGAAGAUCGAGUAAUCGACACUAUGAAAAUCAAUAUAGUAAUUUUCACAUUUGACCUUGUAGACAAGAUAUGAUUCAAAGGGGAGAAUAUUGAUGAGACACUAGUUGAUCAAAGACAUCCCUAGAGGCUUAACAAAUGCCUCAACUACUUUACCAAUAGAGAUGUCAGCAAAGAUUAACUAGAGAUAUCCUCAAGAUAAGUGCCACUAGAGAUUAACCAUUGAAAUUGAUUAGCAAUAGUUAUGGUAAGAGGAGGAAGGUGAAGAAAAGAUUAGAGGAGUAAUAAUAAGAGAUUGAUCAUCUUGUAAUGAGUCCUUAUCAAGAAUAGUUCUACAAUCUUAUUGUUGAGUACAACCCCUUCCAUUCUCCUAUUUUCAUUUUCUCUUCCCUUUAACUUUUAUUAGGUCUCUAUAUCAUGUACCUUUCAAGGGAUUUCUAGGCCUCUAGUGAAGUAUUUUUCUCCAAAAUAAUGAGUCCCCUUCUUUUCAUAUAUGGGGGCCCAUUAUGACUAUAAAGGGAGGGGCUUCUAAAGGGCUAGACAUGAGGAAGAACAAAGUAUUACUGUUGAAAGAGGAGAGAGACCUUGGAAAAUGAAUUAAUCAAGGAGAGAGAGCAUACACAAUGUUUAUAGAGAGAGAGAGAGAGGAGAGAGAAUGGAUAAUGGGCCCUUAAUGGGCCAGGUGAGCUAUAUAACAAUUACUAUGCUCACAAAUUGCAUAUAGCACUUGCACCACUAGAGAUAUGAGUUCAGUGCUAAUGGUUUGUCCAUUAGUAUAAAAGUACCUCACAAGUUUAUGCUUCCACCAAUUUACACCUCACCUCAAAAAUUAAAAAAAAAUUCGUCACAACGAUACAUGGUUACCUUAUGACAUGUGUUACCAAGGUCAACCUUCAAGCACAAACCUUAAUAGUAACUAUGUGUCAUGGUCCACGAUGAUGUAUGACCCAAUAAUUGAAUAGUUAAUCUCAUACAAAAAUGAGAAUUAACUAUCAUAGGGAACAUGUAUAUAAUAGGAUACCCCAACCCUUUACACUGAAUACCUUGAAAGUUAAGUUUAUCUUUAUUGAUUACGGAUAACCUCUCUUGAUCACAUUUGGCCCACUUAGGUAAGAAAAAUAGCAUAGGCCAAUGAAUUAUUUGAAGCUAUACAAAUCUUUGUUACAUUCAUAUUAGAGCAAAGUUAGAUCCCCUUGCUUCUUUCCUUAUUUUUUUCUAUUGGUAGAAAGAUAUAGAUGUAGAAAAAAGUUGGGUGGAUAUGAGUGGUGCCCAUGAGUAAAGGUUCGCCCAUUUAGAUGAGUAGUUUGGAGGUGACAGUUGCGACUAUAGAAUCCUUCACUAGUAAGAUGUAGGCGGGGUGAAUCCCUAUAGAGAGAGAAUGCGGACAAUUCAAAAGAAGAAUGGAUCUAGGUAGUAACAACACUUAUUGAAGCCUUGUUUAACCAAAUAGAUGAGGACAUAAAAAAUAGAGACAUAAAAAAAAGAGAUAAAAAAUAAUGAUAUAUUUUUGCCUAAAAAAGAGAGAUCCUCCCUUCAUAAAAGAAAUCAUGAGGAAAUUAGAUCAAGUUUAAAAUUAGUUGGAGGCCAACUUUCAAAAAGUAGUGGGAGACCUCCAUAAGAAGGUUGUAGGUAGUGGGAGACUAUAAAAGCCUUACAAUUGAGCCCAAAUUUUAUGGUCAAAAGAGGGAUAUCAUAAUAAUUAGUAAUCUUUUAUGAGAUCUACAAUAGUAUUUGAAUGUUAACGCAUCUUUGAAAGAAGAGAAAAUUUUCCUAAGUAGUCUUUAUUAGUUAGGACAUGCUAAGACAUAAUAGUGACUAAGGAUGGAAGAUAACUCACAACUAGUAGUAGCAUAGUGAGAGUACUUUGCCAAGAAAAUGUGAGGGCAAUUUCAUAUAAUGAAUUGUGAAAAAUCCAUCAAAAUUAUCAUGAGAUAAUUAAAAUAUAUCAAAUUUAUCUGUGAGUAUGUUGAAAAGAUUGUCAUGAACAUAUGUAGUAGCUUGUGAUAGAUUUUUGAUCUCCUUUAUCCAAAAUAUCCAUAGUCGAAAUAGGCCUCAAUUUACAAACGACCAUGACAUGUGUAAAGGAGCCCCUUCUUCAAAGCUUAUUUGAUGUAUGCAAGUACUCAUAAAGCGCCCUUUCAAUGUACCUUGUGUGACUCCUACAUAAAUUGGUUAAGGACACUAAAAACAUCAAACUAUGUAAGGAUGAGUAACUAUCAAGUAGAUUAGUUUCCCUAAUAAACGUUGAUGUAUGUUAGUGUCUUCUACUAGAAGGGAAUUGUUCUAAAGCUUUGGCUGAUAUUCUAUUGAUGAAGAUUCUACUUUACACCCUAGUAAUUAUGUUUCUUAAAGGAGAUCUAAGGCAUACUUUUGUUGAGAAAGAGCUAGUUAUCUCGAUUGAUAGGCAAACUCAAAUCCAAAGAAGUAGUACAAGGCUUAAAGAUCAUUCAUCACAAAGUGCUAAUGUAACUACUCUUUUGUAGUAGAGAUGUCUACCUCAUCACUGUUUGUUAAAAGUAUAUCAUUAACAUAAACACCAAAACUACAAAAGUCCUCAAAAAUGGUCUUCCACAUCACAAUAAAAUCAACAACAUAUGGAGUGAAGCUAUAGGCAAUAAGGAGCUAGUUGAAUUUCACAUACUAAACUCAGAGACUCUAUUUGAGCCCAUAUAUGGCUCAUCGGAGCAAGCAUACUUGAGAAGUCUCCCUUUUAAUAACAUACCUUAGAGGUUGUUCCAUAAACACAUGUUCAUAUAAGUUGUCAUACAUGAAGACAUUAAAGAUAUUCAGUUGGUGUAAGGACUAACCCUAAUUAACUAUCUGAGAGAUAAGUACUCGAAUGGAGUUGAGACGAACCACUAAAGAGAAAGUUUUCAUAUAAUUGAUGUCAUAUGUUUAAGUGAAACCUCAAGCUAUUAACCGAGCAAAAGUGAUGAGCCAUUAUACCAUCAAGAUUAUAUUUAAGGUUGAAAACCCAUUUGCACAUCACAUGUUAGUAUUAGUUCGACGUAGUACAAGUUAUCAAGUACCACAUGUUAUUAAGGCACGAUACACAAGAUCUAUGGUCACUUUUCACUCAUGUACCUAAAGAGCUUCAAGAUACAUCUUGAGAAGUGACUUAGAAGAAAUAAAGAGGGCAAAAACAUAAAAGGUAGGGUGAAGGCAGUCAUAAGAGACAAAAUUAGUAAUGGGGUACUAAGUGUAAGUAUGUUUACCUUUGUGUAGGGCAAUUAGAAGAUGGAGGUCAUCUAAAGGUGGAGUAGUAAAGGAGUGUGUGGCCUAAUCUAGUACCAGAGUGGAGACAAUUGAGGGUAUAUCUUGUAUUAGAUCUUGUGAAGAUGACAUGAAUAGUGACACCAUAUGAGUGUCCUUGAUAAAAAGUAAUAUGAGGUUGUGAAGUACGAUUGGAAGAGAGUGGUGGAAAACCUAGAGGUGGAGAAGAAGACACUUGAGAAAGAGUAGUAUGAGAAGAAAAGAAGGGUCUGUCCUAAUGGAAAGUGAUAUCAAUUGAAGUGAUACAAUGAUGAGUAUCAAGGAAGUAUACACGAUAGCUUUUUUACGUAUGCAAGUAGUCAAUGACGACCCUCUUAAGGGCACGAGGAGUAUGAAAACAGAUAAAGUGUGAUCAUUGACGAAUGUUAGAUAGCCAAAUAUACGAGAAAAAAAAGCCAAAGAGAGUUGCCUUGGGGUAGAGAUGUUAGAGGGGAAUAUCUUCAUUUAGGGGGGAGGAAGGUAGACGGUUGUGUAGGUAGGUGGCCAUCAUGAGAGUAUUAUUGUACUAGAGAUAGUGAGGGACAUGCAUCUCAUUGAAAAGUAUGUGAGUAAUGUCUAGUAGGUGGUGAUGUUUCUAUUCUACAACACCAUUUUGUUGAGAGGUGUAAGGGCACCUGGUCUAGUGUAUAAUAUUACGAUCAACACAAAAGGUAGAGAGAACAAGUUGAACUAACUCCAGGGCAUUGUUAGUAUGAAGAAUCUUAGGGGUAAUAGAGUGUUGUAUCAUAAUCUUGAUGAUGAAUUAUAUGACAAUGUUAGGGACAUGAGAAUAAUUUUUCAUGAGAUAUAGCCAACAAAGAUCACAUAGUAGAGGUGGCAUAAGAGAGAAUUAACCUAAGAUAGGCACCAAACAUUACAAUGAACAAGGUCAAACUAGUGAGAGGACAAGAUUAUGUUGUGAGGAGAGUAGGUGGAGUGAUGAUGUUUGCUUAAUUGGCAUGACUCACACAUAAACUUAGAGAGAGAAAGGCAUAGUAAUGAUUUUUGAAGUUUUGAAAAAUAAGAAUGUCCUGAACAAUGAUGCCACAAAAUAGAUAAAAAAAAGUAGAAUGAGCAAACAAGAUAAGAAGACCCAAGGAUAGUGUCUUGGGGACAAGCUCAUAGAUGUCACUACCAUUCUCAUACUUCAAAUCAAUCCAUUGUCUUAUAUGUAGAUCUUGAAAAAUACAAAGAAAGAGAAAAAAUAUAAUAACACAAUUAAGUGUACAUGUGAUGGCACUAAUGGACAAGAGGUUAGUGGGAAAAUUAGGUACAUGAAGGACAUCAUGGAGGGGUAGGGAGGGUAUAUGUGUGGUCAAUCUAUGACCCUUAAUGGACAUAAAUGACUAUUAGCAAUGGAGAUAGGAGGAUAGGUAGAUGUAGGUUAAAUGAAGAUGGGGACAAAUAGUGUACCCAUCAUAUGGGCAAAUUCCCCCAAGUCGAUAAUCUAAGACAAUUUAGAAGUAAUAAGGACAUAUACUUAAAGUAGAGGUAAGACUGGCCAAUGUGAUAGUGUAGGACAAAAUAUCAUAUGUUUGCUUUCAUGUCUCAUAUUUGGCGAGAGAGAAUGACACCUAGAUUGUUAGAAUAGUAGGUGUCGGUGGAGGAACUAUAGAUGUAAUAGGAGUGGCUAUACGAGAGUAGGCAAUAGAUAUCAAGGCUUGUGUCCAUUUGGGUUUCCCAAAUUCUUUUCAACACUUGUUAGAAGGAUAGCUGGUCUUGACAUAGUAGGUACAUGGGGGAAAUCCAUUCUUAACCUUAGUAGAACUCUUGCCCUUAUUAUAAUUCUUGGGGCCAUGGCCACCAUGUGAUCCUAAUGCUACUGUUACUAGGGCCAAAGGAUAUGGUAGAGCAAAUGAGACAAAUGACAUAAGAAUGCUUAGGGGUACACCAAUAAUAACUCAAAAUGUUAAAGAGAAAAUGGAGGCAAUCGACAAUAUAUGACUACUAGAAAGUACUUGACGAUAAAUCUAGAAGGCAAUGGAUGGGUGAAAGCCAUUGAGAUAGGCAUCGACAAAUAGUUAUUAAUGAUAAUGCUCCAAGUGCAUAAAUCAGUUGUGGAGGGCUAGCGGACCAAUAACUUCUAGAUGAUGUUUUAGAGUUUGCCAAAAUACUCCUAAAGAGUUUGAUUGCCUUGCUUGCAUGCAAAAAAAGCUUCAUAAAGUUUGAUUGUGCGGUUGAUAUUGGUCUUAUUAAUAUACAUCAUCUCAAGUGUCUGCCAAAGGGCGCAUAGGAACUUGAUGUGAUCAAGAGGUUGAGCAAUACUUGGAAUAAUGUUUCAACACAUCUAUAUAAGAACUGUCAAGUCAAGUUGUGACCACAACACAUAAGUACAUGUCGUGGCUACCGGAGGUGAUGUUAGAUAAUGUAACAAAUUAUGAGCUUGAAAAAAAUUUUCAAAGCUAUAUAUGCCCACGAUCAAUAAUUGAAAUUGUCAAACACAUAUGCCAGCCAAGUUAGUGGGGCAAUAAUAGAGUGAUGGGUCGAUAGUAUUGGAUCAACUACAAGACAAACAAAGGGACUAGAAGAGGGAGAACUAGAAGUAACAAUUCGUCGAUAGAAUCUACCAUCAGGUUGGGGCACGUAAGAGAGCAACAAUCAAAAGAUCAGGACACUAAUAGAUGAGGGCCAGCUAAGGCUGUUAGGGUAGGGCACUAAGGUGGCCUAGGUAGCCACAUGAGUAGCUUGGGCCUAAAAUAAUUUGGACAGUAGCUUGGACUUGGAAUGGCCCAAGUGAAUGCCAAUACUAGAGCAACAAUUUUAGUAGUCAAAGAAGACGGUGGCUAUGGAGGCAAUGAGGGAAAUGAUGGUGGCGACGAUGAUAGUGGCAACAAAUUAGGAGGGAACCCUAGGACGAGCCAGUACACAAUAAGGUGGGGGGGCAGUCUCAUGGCUCUAGUGCCAUGUGGAAUGAAAAACCUUUAAUCCUGAGAUUACAAGAGCUUAUAUAAAGGAGAGAAGAAGAUGGGUCAUUGUUGGGCCAUACUCUUAUAGUACAUACCAAAACUCAAUAGUAAAAAUAUAUUUAAAUAAUAAUAGUCAAAGAGUCAAGUAGGUAUUUGUGGGUUGUUAUAAAAAGAAGGUCAUAAAGGUUAAGAACAUAUCUUUUCUAAGUCUAGAACCAGCUUAGAAGAUGUCAAGUUGGGACAUGUCUAUUUCUCUUUUUGAACUUGAUUUACAUACUAGGACUGAAUUAAGGCCAAAUUUGAAAUGAUUCUAGAUGACUUUUCCCCUCACCUAGUGCAUGUCUACAAGGGUCAAGAAGUCAAGAUGGAGAUUGAACUGAAGGUGAAGAGGAGGAGAUCCCCUCUUUCUCUCUCUCUCUCUCUCUCUCUCUCCCUCUCUCUCUCUCUCUCUCUCUCUCUCUCUCUCUCUCUCUCNNNNNNNNNNNNNNNNNNNNNNNNNNNNNNNNNNNNNNNNNNNNNNNNNNNNNNNNNNNNNNNNNNNNNNNNNNNNNNNNNNNNNNNNNNNNNNNNNNNNNNNNNNNNNNNNNNNNNNNNNNNNNNNNNNNNNNNNNNNNNNNNNNNNNNNNNNNNNNNNNNNNNNNNNNNNNNNNNNNNNNNNNNNNNNNNNNNNNNNNNNNNNNNNNNNNNNNNNNNNNNNNNCUCUCUCUCUCUCUCUCUCUCUCUCUCUCUCUCUCUCUCUCUCUCUCUCUCUCUCUCUCUCUCUCUCUCUCUCUCUCUCUCUCUCUCUCUCUCUCUCUCUCUCUCUCUCUCUCUCUCUCCUCUCUCUCUCUCUUGCUCUCUCUUCCCACCAACUUCAAUGGGGUUUUCUACUACUACCACAAGGCUUUUGUUCCACCACCAGGGCAAGAUACUCGCUCACUAUGUGUCCUCUUUUACUGCCACAAGCUCCUCUACCGUUGUUGCAUGCUUUCUUCCAUUGCCACUACAGAAUCCUCCUCGCCAUGCAUCCUCUUCUGCCACCACAGGCUCCUCCACCACCAUUGCAUGUUUUCUUCUCCUACCAUUGCAGAAUCCUCCCUUGUUGCGCAUCCUCUUCUGUUGCCACAAACUCCUCUAUUGCUACUACAUACUUUCUUCCACUGCCAUCGCAUAAUCCUCUCUCACUGUACUCCCUCUUUUGUUACUACAUGCUCCUUUGAGACCACUACAUGUUUUCUUUUGUGCCCACCACAAAAUCCUCUCUAGCCGUGAGUUCUCUUCCAUUACCACAAGCUCCUCUACUACCGGUACAUGCUUCUCUUCUGCCAACAAUGUAGAAUCCUAGCUAGUUCUGUGUCCUCUUAUGGCACAUGUUCCUCCUGCCACAAGUUAUUUGAUGUUUUUGUAUUUUUAAAUAUAACACAAUUAUAUAAUUAAAUGAUUUUAUUUAUCUUAAUUUGUAAUAUUAUAAUUAACUGUUAUGAUUUAAAAGUUAGUUAUAUUAUAGAUAAAUUAUAACAUAUAUAUAUAUCUUUAAAUGUAGAUAGGUCAUAGGUCUGAACUUAGUUCUAAGUUUAGGUCACAACUAAAAACUUAAUUGAGACUAUGACCAUUGAUCUCUAGUUAUAGCUGAAAACUUGGGCACAAAUAAAUAAUUUUGAUCUUAGAGGGGGGUAUAAUGUUAAAACACUAUGCUGCGGACUUCUCCUGGGAUCAUUAAUGGUCUAUGCCCACAGAACAUGUCCGAGGGUGACACCCUGCCUAAGUCAUGGGCCUGGGGUCCAGUACAGAGCCCAAGUGUCUGUGCAAAGCUAUUUGGAUCCGAUAUCGCGGAGCGGAUCUGCAACGGACCAAGAAGAUACACGGAGGGGAAGAUCCGGCGGAUAAAGUGACCGUUGUGGGCCGGAAAACCGCUCGACGCACGUUCUCCCGUUAUGGGCCAGAAAGAAGGUGGCGUGGGGGGUUUUUCCAGGCGGCCCAGAUCGUGGGUGGGCUGUUCCGACCUUCAGGGGGUGCACGAGAGUCUUUGCGUUGACCAUCACCAUUUCCGCGUAAUCUUGGAGAAGAAAGGUAGCUAGUGCUGGCGACGGGGGCCAAGGCCAGUCCGGGAACGAAUCCAGGUGAGUUCGAUCCUUGACCCGUGAUACAAGGCACAGGCCCACUCCUCCGGCCCCAUGCUUACCAAAAGAAGUGGUGGACAGGUGACUCGGCAGAUACGUCCAUAUUUCAGCCGACUGCGCUCAAAUUCCGAACGGCCACAGUCGCUGUGAUAGCCGCUAUACUUUCUCCAUGGUAGAAAUUUUGACGGUCAAGUCAAUGUCGGACCGUGUGGUCGCCGUCGUCCUUCUUCGGAAGCAUCACCAGAGCUAGCAUCGCCGCGUACUAAAGUGGCGCAGACGGAGAACUUGUUUUCUUGUCUAACUGGUUCAACUCACGGCAUCGCAGACCUUGCAGGAGUGAGUUCCGUGGUGGCCCUAACCCACCUCCUCGGAGCUUAUCCCUGAGCCAUGCCGCUGGGCACGCCCGCCGCCUCUUUGCUCCUCCUGCUCACCUUUGUCCUCAUGGCUGGAGCGGAGACGGUGACCACCUAUUUCGACUUCCCUACGUUUGGCUCUAGCCGCGACAUCACCUUCCUGGGCAACGCCUCAUCCACCAACGGCUCUCUAGAGCUCAACGAAGACGGCAGCUACAGCUACGGCCGAGCCUUCUACUCGAACCCGGUCCGUCUCUGGGACAACAAAACGGGGAAUCUGGCAAGCUUGAUCACAAACUUCUCCUUCUCGGUGAUCCAGAGUCCGAACAGUACAUAUCACGGUGAUGGAUUAGUCUUCUUCCUCGCCCCCAUCGGCUACCCUGUACUGCAGAACAGAUUGGGUGGCCUAUUCACGCUCUUCAAUAGUAGUGACGAAUUGGUCAUGUCCCCCGUGGUAGCCGUCGAGUUCGAUACCUACUCAAACGAUUGGGAUACGGAGGUCGCCCAUGUGGGAAUCGACGUCGGCCACAUCGACUCCGUCAAAAGCUUGUCUUGGGAGUCGUUCGACUUCCCGACCAUCGACGCAGUGAUCUCCUACGACGCCGGCACCACGGAGCUGAGAGCCUCCUUUUCCGACGGCAACGGCUACAACAAGACCUUAUUUUACGUCGUCGACCUGAGAAAGGAGCUCCCCGAAACUGUGAACAUCGGCUUCGCGGGUGCCACUGGCAGAUACUUCGAACGCCAUGUGAUACAUUCCUGGAGCUUCAACUCAAGCCUGGAUGUUGUCGACCGUAACGGCAACACUACGAACGGCGGCGACACCGGAGGGGGCACCAUCACGGCUCCACCGGUCCCCCCUCCGAACAAGAAGAAAAGCAGCAUCGGUCUACUGGCUGGUGUGCUAGCCGGCGCGGGAACCUUGGCAAUCGCAGCGGGUUUGGCACUCGUCUUCGUCUGGCGAAGAAGGGCACAUGCGAAGAAUGGAGGACAGGACGGCGUCAUCAACGACAGCGAAUUUGACGAAGGCAAGGGGCCCAAGAGCUUCUCUUAUUCGGAACUCGCCCGGGCAACAAGCAACUUUGCGCCAGAACAAAAGCUAGGAAGAGGAGGAUUCGGAGACGUUUACAGAGGAACCUUAACCCGGCCGAAAAUGGUGGUGGCCAUCAAGAGAGUCGCAAAAGACUCGAGGCAGGGAAAGAAGGAGUAUGUCGCCGAGGUGAAGGUCAUCAGCCGCGUGCGCCAACGCAACCUCGUGCAGCUCGUGGGGUGGUGCCACGAGAAGGGGGACCUGCUUCUCGUCUAUGAGUACAUGCCCAACGGCAGCCUCGACGCCCACCUCUACGGCGGUGGCAAUCCGCUGCCGUGGCCGACGCGGUACAGCAUCGCCCGGGGUGUCGCGGCGGCGUUGCUUUACCUCCACGACGAGUCGGACAAGUGCGUGGUCCACAGGGACGUCAAGUCGAGCAACGUGAUGCUGGACGCCAAUUUCAACGCCAAGUUAGGGGAUUUCGGCCUUGCGAGGCUCGUGGACCACGGCGGCGGCAUGGAGACGACGGCCGUGGCUGGGACGAUGGGGUACCUGGCCCCGGAGACCGCGACGACGGGGAGGGCGAGCAAGGAGUCGGACGUCUACAGCUUCGGGGUGCUGGCCUUGGAGAUCGCCUGCGGGAGGAGACCCGUCGAUCACGGCAAUAAAGAGGGGCGGGUUAGUCUCGUUGAGUGGGUAUGGGAUCUCUACGGGAAGGGCGCCGUUGUGGAGGCGGCAGACGAGAGGCUGGGCUUGAACUUUGACCGGCAGGAGAUGGAGCGGCUGAUGGUGGCGGGCCUGUGCUGCGCGCACCCGGACCACCGGCAACGGCCGUCGAUGCGGCAGAUGAUCGGCAUUCUCCUCUUCGAGAUGCCGUUGCCUAAUCUUCCGACAGAGAUGCCGGAGAUAUCCUACGGAGCGUUUCCCGUUCCGGAGUUCAACAUGACCACCAUCAAGGAGUUGUCGUCUACGUCGGCAACCUCCGCCAGAUUCGCCACCGGCGCCUCCGUCGAUUGAGCGGGGUCCGCCGGGUACAAACCAGCCCUUUAUCCGCUCGACAGGUGAAUCAGUCGAAUUCAACGCUUUCGUUUUGUUCAUCCUUCUCUCAGGAGCUAAGUACAGCGAGAGUGCCAGAUGUAUCUUCUGUGUUCUUCCUGUAAUAAUCCCUGUAACGAAGGUUUCGAUCCUUGGAUCUUAGCUCCUUUGUCCGCGUCAGUUGACUGUGGGUUAUCGCUUGACUCAUGACCAUGAUGCAUCCCGGCAUUUCCGUGAGGAUCCAGAAAUGGAUCAGAUGGGAGGAAAGGAUAGGUUCGGCCUCGGACCUUUGUCCAUCGCCUUCCUCCUACCGGGGCGUGUCGUCACCCAGCCCACGACGACCAUUCCCCGAAGCUCAGGCGUCGGUUCACAUCUCUUGUCUGCUCUGUUUCAGUAGUCCUCGGUGACUUCUUCCCCCGUUCCCACCUUCCACUCGGACGCGGACGAGAUCCGCAGAAUCAGCUUGGACAUGAGAUCGAUUCAGCCCGUCUGAGUUUAUUUCUCUUUUAGAUGUUUUUUUACGUGGGUACGACUCCCUUACUCUCCCGUCGGCCUAACAGAACUUAAAUAUCUAAUUCGUCACAACGACAAAGGGUUAGCAUACGCCAUGACUGGGGCCGCGCAUCUACCCAUAUUCCACGGAGAGGACCGGUCCUCCCUCCGGGGCUCCCUUUAUUUUUCGUCUCUUGGAUCCCUCGCUGACCCAUCACGCCGGUGGAUCGUCUUCCUAGCCCCGAGUUUCUUAGUCGUUUAUCUCUUGUACUGGGACGAGGCCGCCGGGUCGCCGGGCCGCCGGUUGGAUGGAAACGGAUGGAGCUCGUGGGAACCGGCUUCUGAGCCAGUCGGUAAAGAGGGGUGGUGGCACCGGUUAGACCGAAACUGCAUCUCAUGCACCUCGCCUUUUAUGCCGCGGAGGAAGAUGAAGGAACCAAAACCGAAACAUCCAGGCGAUAAGAGGGCGAAUAAGAAAGUCAGGAGGCUCUUCUCACCGCCGCAUCAGAUGCCUCAAGCGAGAGCUUUUCCGCAAACUCGUAUCCCCUCUUUCUUUCGUUUGGCCUACGUGACUGUGUAAGCAAAGAAAGCCAAUGAAGGCUUACGAAUGUCGGAAGGAGUUGACCCCACACGGUAGGUGUUUUCCGAUCGACGAUGCGGUGUGUACGGCGGUGGGCACGCACCCCCCAGCCUUCGCGGGAAAAUGCCGAGCUUCCCCCCGCCGGGGGCCCUCCCAUGCAGCUCCAGUUUUCCCCCACCUCCUGCGUCCCUCUCAAUAAUCCCCUCCACACCUGUCUCUCUCGGCGAUAUUUCGUCAUUCAUAAACUACAUAAAAAAAAGCUUCUUUUUUUUGUCAUUCGCUCCCUAUGGGUGAUAAGAUUAUUUUGGCUACCGGGAGUUUGGCCAGUGCAGUCGCAGGACGCGCAAUGACCGUAAGGGUCAUUGGACGCGCGAUGACCAUAAAGGUCACCGGACGCAUGAUGCCGGAAAUGGCUACAAUGCCGUCUGCGGUCACGAGAUGUGACACUGCCGCCAGCAAUGGCGAUAAUGGGCCGUAAUGGGCCAUGAGCCGCAAUGGGCCAUGCACCGUCUACGGCAUCAGGAUAACCCCAUGACAUGAUCCACCACCGCCAGCAAUGGCGAUGAGGGGUGGAGCACUACGAUUGGCAUGUGAAGCCACCUAGAUGGCAGGAGGGCUGAGGUGGAAGCCACCAUCUUCACGGUAGCCAGCCACCACUUGAAUGGUUGGAGUGCCGCCAUUAUGGCGAGCAACUUCUCUCCUGAAGGGCCAUUUUAGGGCACUCAAUUACAACUACGGUAAUUGCAUGGGAUGGCCACACCUCGUCGCUUGUGACGGCCCAUGCUUCACCUUCUAUUACGGCUCACGCCUCAUAUUUUUGAUGGCCCACGUCUCAUGGCACAUGAUGGCUUAGGCCUUAUUAUCUGUCAACUUGAAUGAUUGUCCUAAGAAUGAGAUAGAAAAAGAACAAAUGGAUGACAUCCCAUAUGCCUCAGUUGUUGAGAGCUUAUGUAUAAACAUGUACCUAUCCAGAUGUCACAUAUGUUGUUGGGAUACUUGGUAGAUAUCAAAAUAACAUAGGCCUAUAACAUUAGAAGGUUACAAAAAAAAGUUAUACAUUAUUUACAAGGCACUAAGGAUCACUUGCUCACUUAUAAAAGAUCAGAUCAUCUUGAGGUCAUUGGCUAUUGAGAUAUAAAUAUUGGAGGCUAUCUUGAUAGUAAAAAAUUUACUUUAAGUUUCAUUUUUCUACUAAGAUGUCGAGUCAUUUCAUAUGAGUAUAAAACAAACCACUAUAGCUUCUUAUGUUAUGGAAGUUAAAUUUGUUACCUUCUAUGAGACCUCAUCAUAGGCAAUAUAGAUAAAAAAAUUUUAUCACAAGUCUUAAAAUGAUGGAUUCAAUUCAAAAACCACUUAAGAUCUAUUGUGAUAAUGAAGUUGAUGUUUCUUUCUUUAACAACAACAAAAGUUUCACUUCAUGUAGGCACAUGGAAAUAAAUUAUUUUGUUGUUAAAGAAAUAAUAGAUAUUCAUUUGGUGUCUACUACUCAUAUUGGUAUACAUGACAUAUUAGUAGACCCACUUACUAAAGGAUUGACGCCUAUAUUAUAUUUCAAACAUGUAAGGAACAUGGGUCUAUCCUUUAAUGUCUUAUUUUGAUAGAUCUUACAAAAGUAAUGUUUUAUUUUGAGACAUCAAGUAUUUGUGAACAUAUUUUGGUAAAUAUUAUGAUUCUUUGGGUUCUACUUUCUAUAUCAAGUAUUUAUAAAUAAAUUAAGUAAAUAAAGAGUUAUAUUUUACCAAGGGAAUAAGAAUGUGGUUAACUUAUUCAUAAAAGUCGUUGUCAUAUAAAGUAUUGGUAAUUAAAGAAUAUUGACAUAGUAAUAUAGAGAAGAUAACAUACACUCAAGUUUAUCUAUCGCUAUGACUCAUGUCUCUAUUUAAUCAUGACAAAGUAUAAAAUUACCCACAUAAAAAUGAGAUUAGUUGUGGUACCAUGUCAAAACUUAAUCUAAUAUCUUUUGUGUCUUGUAUUCUAUAUGUCUAUUAUCUUGUAGAAUAAUGAUUAUGGUAUAAUAGGCCAAGUGAGAGAAUGUUGGCCCAUAAGUGGCCCAUUAGCAUAAUAACUACUCAUAAUAACCACUCCUAUAACUACCUAUUGGCUACCCUCAUUUGGGAAACAACACACACCCUAUAUUUAAGAAGAAUCCUUAUUUCAGGAGAUGAGGAAGACACACAGCUCUCUCUCUCUUCUCUCUUCUCCUCAUUCUAUUUGAUGAGAACAUAACCUUUAGUGCUCUAAGAGCUUAGUACUCUUCUCCUUAGUACAUUAGUCUGUCAUCAAGUAGCAUCCUACAGAGAAGGGAUAUCAAAGUGUCUAUCUAUUUGGGAAGACAAAUAUAUCCUUUCUCUUACACUACAAUUUCCUGUGAACACUUGAUACACAAUGUCUUCAUUAGGUGAGUAACCCAUCAUAUAAAAUAGAAUAAUAAUUAUUAUUAAUAUAAUGUUGUUAUUCCAAUAUGGUGGCCAUUUCACUCUCUUCCCAAAGAACAACAAAAGCUAGUCGGGUAAGGCCUUUGGUAGCUGUCAAGUUCAACGCCCACAAAAACGCAUAGGAUAUGAAGGACGCCCCCCAUGUAGGGAUCGACGUCGGCUACAUAACGUCCGCAAUAAUCUCGGAUUGUGGGUCGAUCUCCGGCCAGAACAGAACCACGAUCGACGUAGUGAUCACCUACGAUGCUGGCACCACCAUGCUUAAAGCCUACUUCUCGAACAUGAAUGGCACGGACCAGAGCUUGGCUUACUACGUUAACCUGAGCGAGGAGCUUCCCGAGAAGGUUAACAUCGGCUUCGCGGGCGCCACUGGUGCAUACUUUGGACGCCAUGUGAUACAUUCCUGGAGCUUCAACUCAAGCCUGGAUGUUGCCGUCCGUAACGGUAACACCACAAACGGCGGCGAUGCCGGUGGGACUAAGAAGAAAAGCAACAUCGGCCUACUGGCUGGUGUGCUAGCCGGCGCGGGAACCUUGGCAAUCGCAGCGGGUUUGGCACUCUUCUUCGUCUGGCGAAGAAGGGCACAUGCGAAGAAUGGAGGACAGGACGGCGUCAUCAACGACAGCGAACUUGACGAAGGGAAGGGGCCCAAGAGCUUCUCUUAUUCGGAACUCACCCGGGCAACCACCAACUUUGCGCCAGAACAAAAGCUAGGAAGAGGAGGAUUCGGAGACGUUUACAGAGGAACCUUAACCCGGCCGAAAAUGGUGGUGGCCAUCAAAAGAGUGGCAAAAGACUCGAGGCAGGGGAAGGAGUAUAUCGCCGAGGUGAAGGUCAUCAGCCGCGUGCGCCAACGCAACCUCGUGCAGCUUGUGGGGUGGUGCCACGAGACGGGGGAGCUGCUUCUCGUCUAUGAGUACAUGCCCAACGGCAGCCCCGACGCCCACCUCUACGGCAGUGGCAGUCCUUUGUCUUGGCCGACAAGGUACAGCAUUGCCUGGGGGUUUGCGGCGGCACUGCUGUACCUCCACCAGGAGUCGAAGCAGUGCGUGGUCCACAGGGACGUCAAGUCGAGCAACGUGAUGCUGGACGUCAAUUUCAACGCCAAGUUAGGGGAUUUCGGCCUUGCGAGGCUCGUGGACCACGGCGGCGGCAUGGAGACGACGGCCGUGGCUGGGACGAUGGGGUACCUGGCGCCAGAGACCGCGACGACGGGGAGGGCGAGCAAGGAGUCGGACGUCUACAGCUUCGGGGAGGAGACCCAUCGAUCACGGCAAUAAAGAGGGGCGGGUUAGUCUCGUUGACUGAGUUUGGGAUCUCUACGGGAAGGGCGCCGUUGUGGAGGGGGCGGACGAGAAGCUGGGCUUGGACUUCAACCGGCAGGAGAUGGAGCGGCUGAUGGUGGCGGGGCUGUGCUGCGCCCACCCAGACCACCGGCAACGGCCGUCGAUGCGGCAGGUGAUUGGCAUUCUUCUUUCUGAAAUGCCAUUGCCUAAUCUUCCGGUCCAGAUGCCGGAGCCGUCCUACGGAGGGGUUUCCGUUUCUAGGUCCAACCUGGCCAGCAUCAACUGGUGGUCGUCGUCUACUUCGACGACCCCCAGCGGAUUCACCACCGGCACCUCCAUCGAUUCAGCUUGCUCCACUGGCAGCAAACCACUUCCGUAUCCGCCCGUCAGGUAAAGCCGUCGAAUUCAACGUUUUCGUUUUAUUCUUCGAUUUACUCUUGGCUUGUCUUUUCAGCCGGUCGUCGCAUUAACCGGUCCAACGACUGGGUUGACCAUCUCUCAUCAAAACGGCCGUCGACCGACAGAUCUCAGUGCACGCUCCAACUCGCCCUUUAACAACCACUCGGUCCUUCGAGGUGUUAAUAAGUAGAACCUCUUCUUCUCUAUUUGAGUGUCCUAUUUGACAGUUGUGAAGAGAAGUUCAAGGUAGAUAUCUAAGGGUCUAAUCGGAGUUUUGAAGGCCAUGGUUAGAUAACUAUUUUCUCAGUUCUUGAUGAGAAUUUUCUUGUGAUCUUAUCAUAUCUAACUAAAGCUUUCGUCAUUGUUAUUCGUAGACAAAAGAAGCAGUCUAUGGAACCAUGUUAAAGUGUUUUAUGCUUGUACCCUAUUAUGAGUUGAUCACCCUUCCUUUUCGAUACUUCACAUCGUGUAGAUUGCAUAAACAAUAUUUUGCUAGUACUCUACUAUGAGUUUUGUUCACCUAUUUUGUUUGCUUUAUUUCAUUAGUCCUAGGUGAGUUCAUGACUCCUCCACACCUUUCACUAGAACAUGGACCAGAUCUGCAGAAUCGACUAAGAGAGGAGAUCAAUUCAACCUAUCUAAGUUGAUCUUUUCUUUCAUAUCAGCUUUUAGGUGGCUGUGACUCCCAACUCUCUCUAGUGUAAAAGGAUUCCUCUCGUUUACCCUUAAAAUUCACAGGCAACACUACUGUGGAUUUGAGUUUGGCAAGAGGUGAACUCAAUGAGCUCCAAAAGAGUAAAAGGAAAAUAUGCUGUAAGUAGGGAGAAAGUACAUCCAGAUAUGAAGGAGAAGAGGGCUGGAACAGAGGAUGGACGGGAGUUUGUGGAACAAAAUAAGCCCUCAAAAUUAAAUGUCUUGAGUUGUUUACAACCAAAUAGAGAGGGUUUUAUGUGAAAGUAGACAACUUAAUUCAAAACUGAUUAAAAACAAAAAAAGAAGUAAGGAACGGAGCAAAAGAAGUAGACAACUUCUCCAUGCUCAUCAUGUUGAUAGACUCCUAAGUACCCAAGUCCCUUGUCGCUAGAAACGGAGCAAAAGAAAGGAACGGAUUGCCCGAGCAGAAGACCAGCGCCCAACAUGAGUAAGUUUUGGGCCAGAAAUGAUGGGCCCAGAUAGAGGGCUUGGGCUGGUUAAGGCCCGACCAGCCAACAGCCAACUGUCACAGCGACAGUUUAAAUACUAGAGGAAGAGAUCAAGCGGGAGGAGAGAAAAAUCAAGAUUCUUCUACCCCAUCUACCUCUGCAUUUCACUCUCUGUCUCAGUCUCUCUCUCUCUCUCUCUCUCUCUCUCUAUCUCGCUCUCUAUCUCCUCUCUCUUUCUUUCGUCAUGAUCUCUGCUAGAUCUGCUGUUCAUCAACAUCCCUGCUGCCUGAUUCUUAACCCCCUUCUGCAUUGUCUUUCCGGAGUUCGGAAAUGAUUGCUCUCGAGAGCAGGAACUAGUAAUUCUGGUAUUUCAAGAAAUUGAGAAAGGUGAUUGCGUACGUAAUACUUCUUCUUGUUCUCUGAAAUUCUUGUGUCUAAAAUGUUACUAUCUUAUUUUGAGUGAAUUUCUUGAUAUCCUUCUGUUCUAUCUUUGAAUCAUUGAUUGAACUUCAACCGUUCCUUCCAAAUUUAUAUUGAUUCUGAGGAAUAUAAAAAAAGGAGAUCCUAUCACGUCUUAUAGGCAAGUUUGCAUCAAUUUCAUUUAUAUCAUGUCCAUAGUAUUGGAAAGGCAGCAGCUGGAUGGCGGGCAGCGGUGGAAAUAGUCGGACGGAAGAAGUGGUGGCAGAUGGAUAUUGGCCCUCAGGACCUCUCCUUCGGAGCGAAGAUGGUUGACCCUCACGGCCUCUCCCUCAUGGAGCAAAGACAGGUAAUUCCUCAGAAUAAUCAUUUAUCUGGAGAUGGUCGCAAGACCUCGCCGCUCCCAAUUAGAAGCUCUACCUUUGUCUCUAUCUGGUCGUUGUCGCCAUCUGUCGUCGCCUCCACCACUGCCUUCGCUGCCACCGCCAUCUUCCUCGUCUUCUGCCGUCGCCUUCUUCCUCGUCGUCCACUACCAUAGGGGCACGAGACAACUCUCUCUAAGGAACUCGGCAAAAAUAGCCCCCUAACUUCGGGAGAAGGGGUGCCUACUCACAAAGGGGUUUGCAGUGACCAGGCCUGGGCGACUGCCGCCACUAUUUUGUAUAUGUCCGCUUCGGCCUCCGACACUCUUGGUCCGCCACUAUCUCCACCUUCAUUGCCGUCGCCUCCAUCCCGUCGCCGACCACCUCAUCGCCGCCGCCGGCUGUCCAAGAUCAACCCCAUUCUGUCGUCGCCGCCACCAUCCCUUCCCGCUUCUUCCACUGCCAUUGUCGCCCUUCCCAACCUUUGUUCCUCUGGUGAUCUGUUCCGCCUGUUUCUUUCCCAAUUAGGGCUUAAAGGCCCCGAUUCGUGGGUCCCAAUCUACUGGUUGAACACAUUCGGUGAUCCCGACCAGGCCACCCUCCGAUGCGAGCCCCAUUGGUCUGAACGAACCCGCCACAGGUUCGAGCCAACGUGGACAAUUGGGUCCACGUCGUUCUCUCGCGCCAGGCCGAGCCAUUCUGACCAUCCGGUCCACGUCGGGCAUCCCGUCCAGCUGGAGUCAAGACUCAAUCAAAUUUCUACGACAUAGUGAACGAUCAAUUAUUUAGGCAAGGGUCAACAGCGUGGGCAAAAAGUCAACUAUUAAUAUUCUGCAACCAAUAGUCUCUCUUCUCAGUCCUUUCCAAGGUAAGUAGUUCUCACACAUCAUAUAUCUCUGCUCAUUUAAUAUAUUUUUAUUGCGAUUGUCCGAGGGUGACUAUAGUAUAACCAUAUGUUUCUGAGUUUAAUGAGCAUAGUAUAACGACUCGUGACUUUUCUGAGCUACCCGAUCACGGCUGUCUUUGUCGAAAUACGGCCAUCAUGAGGGCCCUCGGCCGUCAACCCUGUGCGAAGUAAUAUACACGUCACACCUCAGCUUUCCUCCUGGCCGUGGACAGCGUAGAUGUCAACGCGGACAGGCCACAUGCGUUGAAUGCAACUAAACGUGUUCAAAUCAAGUCCCCCGGGUACCCCGUCAAUCUUCAUUUCUGUAAAGAUUUCGAGGAUCUUACCGUGGAAAAAGUAGAAGCUCAACGAACUAUCCCCCACCGCAAGAAGCGGUUCCUAGUGGCCACCGCAGGGUUGGUUGAUGAUCCUCGCCGUCCUGCGGGGAAAAGACCUCGCGACUUAACUCAACCCGAAGAAUCGGACCCCUGGUCCUCCUCGAGGACGAUGGAAGCUUCGUGUGGCGGAUCCGGGAGGUCAACGUCGGGCUGGAUGGUCGCCACCUCUCUUGAAAGCCUCACCGGAACACGCGUAGACCGAAGCGAUUAUCGCUCAUUAUUUAGGGGCGCCGCCACCCACUCGCCCAAUACGAGGAGCGCUCGAAUUUAAUAAACGAGCGGUUACUGUCACGAUAACAAGGCCGAGAACUUACAAAAUGUUUCAUAGCCAGAGUGCCGUGACGGCUUUCGCACCUUACAGCGGCCUUGUGGAGGCCCCAACCCACCUCCACGGAAAUCAUCCCUGAGCCAUGCCGCCCGGCGCCUCCAUCACCUCUUUGCUCCUCCUGCUCACCUUCAUCCUCAGGGCUGGAGGGGAGACGGUGACCACCUCCUUCGACUUCCCCAGGUUCGCGUCCAGCCCCGCAAACAUCACCUUUCAGGGCGAAGCCUCAUCCGCCAACGGAUCCCUAGAGCUCAACAAGGACGGCGAAUACAGCUACGGCCGAGCCAUCUACUCCAGCCCAGUCCGUCUCUGGGACAACAAAACCGGGAAUCUCGCGAGCUUCACAACAACUUUCUCCUUCUCCGUGAUCCGGCGUCCGAACGCGACGAAUUUUGCUGAUGGGUUAGCCUUCUUCCUCGCCCCCGUCGGUUAUCCUCUCUCGGAAAACACCACAGGGGGCGAACUCACCCUCUUCGACGGCUACUUCUCAACCCGACCGCCUAAGGUCCCCGUAGUAGCCGUCGAGUUCGACACCUUCCAAAACGAAUGGGAUAAGGAGGUCACCCAUGUGGGGAUCAACGUCGGCUACAUCGAGUCCGUCGAUAGCUUGCCUUGGUGGUCGCCCGAUGGCCAGACCCGUGCCACGAUCGACGCAGUGAUCACCUAUGACGCUGAUACCACCAGGUUGAGAGCCUCCUUCUCCGAGGUGAACGGCGACAACAGGAUCUUGCCUUACACCGUCGACCUGAGAAAGGAGCUUCCCGAGAGGGUGAACAUCGGCUUCGCAGGCGGCACAGGCCUAUACUUCGAACGCCAUGUGAUACACUCCUGGAGCUUCAAUUCGAGCCUGGAUGUUGCCAUCCGUAAUGGCAACACUACCAACGGAGGCGACGCGGGAGGGGGCAGCAUCAACGCUCCUCCGGACCCCCCUCCGAGCAAGAAGAAAAGCAGAAUCGGCCUACUGGCUGGUGUGCUAGCUGGCGCGGGAACCUUGGCAAUCGCAGCGGGUUUGGCACUGUUCUUCUUCCGGCGAAGAAGGGCAUAUGCCAAGAAUGGAGGACAGGACGACGUCAUCAACGACAGCGAACUUGACGAAGGGAAGGGACCUAAGAGCUUCUCGUAUUCGGAACUCGCCCGGGCAACCACCAACUUUGCGCCAGAACAAAAGCUAGGAAGAGGAGGAUUCGGAGACGUUUACAGAGGAACCUUAACCCAGCCGAAAAUGGUGGUGGCCAUCAAAAGAGUGGCAAAAGACUCGAGGCAGGGAAAGAAGGAGUAUGUCGCCGAGGUGAAGGUCAUCAGCCGCGUGCGCCACCGCAACCUCGUGCAGCUCGUGGGGUGGUGCCACGAGAAGGGGGAGCUGCUUCUCGUCUAUGAGUACAUGCCCAACGGCAGCCUCGACGCCCACCUCUACGGCGGCGGCAAUCCGCUGCCGUGGCCGACGAGGUACAGCAUCGCCCGGGGGGUCGCGGCGGCGCUGCUUUACCUCCACGAGGAGUCGGAGCAGUGCGUGGUGCACAGGGACGUCAAGUCGAGCAAUGUGAUGCUGGAUGCCAAUUUCAACGCCAAGUUAGGGGAUUUCGGCCUUGCGAGGCUCGUGGACCACGGCGGCGGCAUGGAGACGACGGCCGUGGCUGGGACGAUGGGGUACCUGGCGCCGGAGACCGCGACGACGGGGAGGGCGAGCAAGGAGUCGGACGUCUACAGCUUCGGGGUGCUGGCCUUGGAGAUCGCCUGCGGGAGGAGACCCAUCGAUCACGGCAAUAAAGAGGGACGAGUUAGUCUCGUCGACUGGGUGUGG
rnacentral:lncRNA from 1 species